GGAUUGUGGCUCAGCGGUAGAGCGCUUGCCUAGCACGUGUGAGGCCCUGGGUUCAAUCCUCAGCACCA
rnacentral:tRNA from 1 species